rnacentral:rRNA from 1 species
UACGGAGGUUGCAAGCGUUGUUCGGAAUAACUGGGCGUAAAGGGAGCGCAGGCGGCUUGGUAAGUCUAAAGUGAAAUUCCAGGGCUCAACCCUGGACGUGCUUUGGAUACUGCCUGGCUUGAGUACGUGAGAGGAGAUUGGAAUUCCAGGUGUAGCGGUGAAAUGCGUAGAUAUCUGGAGGAACACCGGUGGCGAAAGCGGAUCUCUGGCACGUUACUGACGCUGAGGCUCGAAAGCAUGGGGAGCAAAC